rnacentral:rRNA from 1 species
AGCAGCCGCGGUAAUUCCAGCUCCAAUAGCGUAUAUUAAAGUUGUUGCAGUUAAAAAGCUCGUAGUUGAAUUUCGGGACUAACAGGUUGGUCGCGCCUUUGGUGUGUACUGGCCUAGUUGGUUUCUCCCUUCUGACGAACCACGAUGUCAUUAAUUUGGUGUCGUGGGAAAUCAGGACUGUUACUUUGAAAAAAU